CUGUAGUGAUGCGUGUUGUGUAAGACAUCUUCAAGGAGAGGAAGCAUUUAGUAAAAUCAUUGAUGAAAACUUUGGUAAAGAAAAUACACUUGCAACAAAGUAUCCAAUAAAGGUCACUUACCUCUUAAUCAAUUCUAAUUGCAUAAUUGAGAUCAAGGUUAUAUUGUCAAUGAUGUCUUCCCAACUAUGUGUAUACGUGAACCUUGAAAGAUUGAUUAAGAUUAAAGAUGAAUUGAACUUCGUUCAAGAUGCAAAAAAGAGUUGUUCCUGAAUAAUGAUGUGGUGCUACGCUGUGUCAAUGUGUGUUCCUUUAGAAGAUUUUCUUCUCAAGUAAUCUCUCAGUAUGAGGAGGGGACAGUUAGUAAUGCUGCUUUGAAUGCAAUUCAUGUAAAAUGACAUCGGUCUUUCAGAGGCAGGAAAGAGAAGUUUAAAAACUUGAUGUAAUAAAGACUGGACCAUGAGCAUUAGAUUUAUGCAAUGUUUUAGGAAGGGGUAUGAAAUUAACAAUGAGUCAUCAGGUUAGCUUGCAGGUAAAACUAGCAUGAACUUGCCUUGCUCUCUUCCCUUGUUUUCUUAUAGGGAAUGCAAAGCAUCAAAGACUCUCAUUUUCCAGCCUAAACAAGGGAACAAUGCACUGAACAGUAGUAUUGUGCUGCCUGGAGAUCACAAUCCAGGUAGUUUAGUCUCUAGGUUUAGUCUCCUGCAUGCAUUCAUUUUUGUGAACUGCUACCAGAAGUAAUUUGAAAUACACUGAAAAGCAGAAGUGGUCCAGCAGGUCUUCUAAUCAAUAGAAUGCUAAUAUUUUCUAUUUCGUUUUCUGGAUUUAUUAUUGGAAGUGUUUGAGUGCUUUCAGUGUAUAUACUGGAGAUAAAGAAUCUGGAUGUAGAUAAAAACUUUGAUUGUCCUAGUAGAAUAAGGCAAAAGUUGUGCAGAGAAUAUAAGGAAGGAAACUGCAAAGUCACUAUUAUUCAUUCUUCAGAGUACCAAAUUGCCCAGCCUUUUGGGUGCUGUGAGUAUAAGGAACUUAAUCUCUAUAUAUUUAUGGCAGUGGACCUGCAGGGAGCACUGUGGGUGUAAAUAGAUAGAUUUCUUUGAUAGUUUAAGUAUGCAGGAUUUGUGUAAGCUUUGGUGACAUAUCCUACAGUUUUCUGUAGAGCCAUGCUUAAACAUUUCAUGUAACAGAUAUUAAUUAGGUCACCUAACUUCUUGACUAACAAAACUGACCUAGAACAGGAAAAUCAAUUUUGAAUUGAAGUCAGACUCUGAAUGGAUCAUUCCCAUUGGAGUACCCCAGAUGAUGAGAUGAAGUUGUAAAAUGAAGGAGAAGUUGAGAGAAGCUGGUGACAACUCAAUGGCAGUUCUCCAUAGGUCGUGAAUUUUUCAGUAGGAUUAAAUAUAUAUACAUUUGUGGUUUUAAAUUAUUGGCUAUGUAGUCUAAUACAUGUGUUCAAUAAUACUUACAGUAUGGCACAGAAAAGAGAGAGAAUAUUCCAUCAUAGAAAGCUUUGUUUGUAACGAAUUUGCUUUUCACGCCAGGAGAAUAACAAAGGAAAGAGCAGAGGAAUAGAGUCAAGAGCUCUUCAAUGAGAAAAUCAGGUCAGGUUUGCCACGUAAUCAUGGCCCUGGACUCAAAUUGGAAAAGUCCCACUCAGAUACCUAGGAACAAAAACAAAACAAAAUUAAAUUAAAUUAGAAAGAAAAGAAGAGAAAAAGUAAAAAAAAAAAAGAAAAAAAAAACAACAGCACAAGAAACCACCAACAAAAACAGAACUCAAAAGCCAUUGCUAGUUAACCAAUUGACUAGAGAUGGAAACAAAUAAUGAAUAUACAUGCAAUACAAUAUAUUGUUAAUAACAGCCGCUACCGAGAGAAGAUCAGUUUGCAGAUUGAAUCACAUACAGGCUAAGAAGUGUUUGUAUGCGGCUGUUGUAACAAUAUUUAAUUAAAAAAGAAAAAGAAAAGAAAGAUUAUUUAGUCAGUUACUAUUGUCUUUGCAACAUUAAAAUCAGCAGUAAUGCCAAAGUCUAUUACAUGAAAUGUGGCAUGACGGAUGGAGUACCUGUAUUGGGAGAGUGGAAAUAAGACAGAAAACAUUUGAUAAGCGGUUGCUUCAGGUCAUGGAUUUGCUUGAUAAAACUGGUUCACUUCAAGUUUUAAAUAUUUUUAUAGAUGAUAUUUCUGUAUUUCUCGCUAUCUCUAUUUUUGUAAUCAUAGUCUUACUACUCAAAAUUAUAAACCAUGAGGCUAAAAAGGAGUCAUGCUGCUGGUUGAUGCACUGUGCCACAGCUCUUUGUCUC
ensembl:lncRNA